GUCCUGGCUGUAAACGAUGAGCACUUGGUGUGGCGGGUAUCGACCCCUGCCGUGCCGAAGCUAACGCAUUAAGUGCUCCGCCUGGGGAGUACGGCCGCAAGGCUGAAACUCAAAGGAAUUGACGGGGGCCCCGCACAAGCGGUGGAGCAUGUGGUUCAAUUCGACGCAACGCGAAGAACCUUACCUGGGUUUGAACUGCAGGUGACAGCUCUCGAAAGAGGGUCUUCCUUCGGGACGCCUGUAGAGGUGCUGCAUGGCUGUCGU
rnacentral:rRNA from 1 species